rnacentral:hammerhead_ribozyme from 1 species
GUACUGCUGAGGAGUCCCACUCUAGGACGAAACAGCUGUCCAGUAC